rnacentral:rRNA from 1 species
UGGGGAAUAUUGGACAAUGGGGGCAACCCUGAUCCAGCAAUGCCGCGUGUGUGAAGAAGGUCUUCGGAUUGUAAAGCACUUUCGACGGGGACGAUGAUGACGGUACCCGUAGAAGAAGCCCCGGCUAACUUCGUGCCAGCAGCCGCGGUAAUACGAAGGGGGCUAGCGUUGCUCGGAAUGACUGGGCGUAAAGGGCGUGUAGGCGGUUUACACAGUCAGAUGUGAAAUCCCCGGGCUUAACCUGGGAGCUGCAUUUGAUACGUGUAGACUAGAGUGUGAGAGAGGGUUGUGGAAUUCCCAGUGUAGAGGUGAAAUUCGUAGAUAUUGGGAAGAACACCGGUGGCGAAGGCGGC